rnacentral:rRNA from 1 species
CUUUAGCGCGGUGGUCCCACCUGACCCCAUGCCGAACUCAGAAGUGAAACGCCGUAGCGCCGAUGGUAGUGUGGGGCCUCCCCAUGCGAGAGUAGGGAACUGCCAGGC